AGAGUUUGAUCCUGGCUCAGGACGAACGCUGGCGGCGUGCUUAACACAUGCAAGUCGAACGAUGAAGCCCUUCGGGGUGGAUUAGUGGCGAACGGGUGAGUAACACGUGGGCAAUCUGCCCUUCACUCUGGGACAAGCCCUGGAAACGGGGUCUAAUACCGGAUAACACUCCUGCCUGCAUGGGUGGGGGUUAAAAGCUCCGGCGGUGAAGGAUGAGCCCGCGGCCUAUCAGCUUGUUGGUGAGGUAGUGGCUCACCAAGGCGACGACGGGUAGCCGGCCUGAGAGGGCGACCGGCCACACUGGGACUGAGACACGGCCCAGACUCCUACGGGAGGCAGCAGUGGGGAAUAUUGCACAAUGGGCGAAAGCCUGAUGCAGCGACGCCGCGUGAGGGAUGACGGCCUUCGGGUUGUAAACCUCUUUCAGCAGGGAAGAAGCGAAAGUGACGGUACCUGCAGAAGAAGCGCCGGCUAACUACGUGCCAGCAGCCGCGGUAAUACGUAGGGCGCAAGCGUUGUCCGGAAUUAUUGGGCGUAAAGAGCUCGUAGGCGGCUUGUCACGUCGGGUGUGAAAGCCCGGGGCUUAACCCCGGGUCUGCAUUCGAUACGGGCUAGCUAGAGUGUGGUAGGGGAGAUCGGAAUUCCUGGUGUAGCGGUGAAAUGCGCAGAUAUCAGGAGGAACACCGGUGGCGAAGGCGGAUCUCUGGGCCAUUACUGACGCUGAGGAGCGAAAGCGUGGGGAGCGAACAGGAUUAGAUACCCUGGUAGUCCACGCCGUAAACGGUGGGAACUAGGUGUUGGCGACAUUCCACGUCGUCGGUGCCGCAGCUAACGCAUUAAGUUCCCCGCCUGGGGAGUACGGCCGCAAGGCUAAAACUUAAAGGAAUUGACGG
rnacentral:rRNA from 1 species